CUUCCCGACUGGCCCGCCUGGAGGCUCUUUCCUCUCAAUAAAGCCUGAACUUAAGACUUUCUUCUAACCUGCCGUCCAGUUUUUUCCGAAUGAGCUCUGUCUUCCCGUAGAGGGAGGUCGGACACCAUAGGUUCUCUGAGUCCAGAAAGCACGCAGAGCCAAUGCUGUCAUUUUGAGUCUGAAAAUUUGGCCAAAUGAGGGGUGUUGUCAGAGACAUCACAGGGCUACCCAUACGUAAAUGUUCAUUACUCUAAAUUCUUUCUUUUGGGAAUUGAUGGUGAAAAUCUCCCCCUGAAGUGUCAAGCUGUCACGUUGGGUAGAUGAGAUAAGUCACACACACUUGCCUCACUGCAGUUGUCUCAUGCUUAGUCAUGCAUGCUUGUUUUUAGGAAUAGUUAUUUGAUGAAAGAAUUCAUGACCACAGGGCCUAACGCAGGAGUAGACAAGCAGAGGCUGAGGCACUGGAAACAGAGGGACCACAUGAAUGUACCACCGAGAAAAACCAGAGCACUCCCAACUCUCUCCUCCACCCAACAUCCUCCUCCUCUUCCACUGAGAAAGCCUCUUUCUGAGAGAUAGAGGAGGGACAUUGUCUCUAAAGAGUCAUUGUUAAAUUAUGCGAUUUUUCCUAGAAGAACACAGGAUUGUGAGGAGUGAGUAGAACAGCAUCUUAGUCUGUUUUGUGCUGCUGUAACAGAAUAUCUAGAAUUAGGUAAUUUACAAUGAGCAGGAAUGUAUUGGCUCAUAGUCCUGGAGGCUGGGAAGGUCAAUAGUACGGUGCUGACAUCUGGCGAGAGCCUUCUUGCUGUACCAUCACAUGGAAGAAGGCAAGGAGGUCUCGGUUCCCUGGGUGUGAGGAGAUGAGUCCCCUUGGCUGAGCCAUUUCUAACAGGACUGGAGGAUUUCUGCAGGAAGUGGUGG